GCCUUCGUGGUGUAGUGGUCAGCACGCUCGACGCGUAUUCGAGAGGUCCGUGGUUCAAGUCCAGGUGAGGGCA
rfam:Stegodyphus mimosarum contig106398, whole genome shotgun sequence.